rnacentral:tRNA from 1 species
GACGAUGGGUUCAAUUCCCUCCACCUGUACCAAACAAUGGGGUCAUAGUUUAUAUGGUUAAAAUUCGAGUUUUGC